GUUUCCGCAGCCAUAGCGAGAGGGAAACGCCCGGUCCCAUUCCGAACCCGGAAGCUAAGCCUCUCAGCGCCGAUGGUACUGCACUCGCCAGGGUGUGGGAGAGUAGGACGCUGCGGAACAC
rnacentral:rRNA from 1 species